rnacentral:rRNA from 1 species
UGGGGAAUAUUGGACAAUGGGGGAAACCCUGAUCCAGCAAUGCCGCGUGAGUGAAGAAGGCCUUAGGGUUGUAAAGCUCUUUCGCCCGCGAAGAUAAUGACGGUAGCGGGAGAAGAAGCCCCGGCUAACUCCGUGCCAGCAGCCGCGGUAAUACGGAGGGGGCUAGCGUUGUUCGGAAUUACUGGGCGUAAAGCGUACGUAGGCGGAUGCGCAAGUUGGGGGUGAAAUCCCGGGGCUUAACCUCGGAAUUGCCCUCAAAACUGCACGUCUUGAGACCGAGAGAGGUAAGGGGAAUUCCUAGUGUAGAGGUGAAAUUCGUAGAUAUUAGGAAGAACACCAGUGGCGAAGGCGCCUUACUGGCUCGGUACUGACGCUGAGGUACGAAAGCGUGGGG